CCUACGGGUGGCAGCAGUGGGGAAUAUUGGACAAUGGGCGAAAGCCUGAUCCAGCCAUGCCGCGUGUGUGAAGAAGGCCUUCGGGUUGUAAAGCACUUUCAGUGGGGAAGAAAGCCUUGGGGCUAAUACCCUCGAGGAAGGACAUCACCCACAGAAGAAGCACCGGCUAACUCCGUGCCAGCAGCCGCGGUAAUACGGAGGGUGCGAGCGUUAAUCGGAAUUACUGGGCGUAAAGCGCGCGUAGGCGGUCUGAUAAGCCGGUUGUGAAAGCCCCGGGCUCAACCUGGGAACGGCAUCCGGAACUGUCAGGCUAGAGUGCAGGAGAGGAAGGUAGAAUUCCCGGUGUAGCGGUGAAAUGCGUAGAGAUCGGGAGGAAUACCAGUGGCGAAGGCGGUCUUCUGGACUGACACUGACGCUGAGGUGCGAAAGCGUGGGUAGCAAACAGGAUUACAUACCCGGGUAGUC
rnacentral:rRNA from 1 species